GACGCGUGGCCGAACCAGACCGGAAGCAGCGCCCAGUCGGGACCCGUAGGGAGAGGCAGGGAGCCGGUGGUGGCGGCAGCGGCAGCUCAAGCUGUGACUGUGGUGGCGGCUUGUGGCGAGGCUGCGUGGCAGCGGCGACCAGGCUGGUGCAGCAGCGGCUCGCUCAGGCUGUGGGUCGCUGUUGCAAACCACGAUUUUGUGGGCCCACUUGGCAGAGCUGGAAGGAGGGGAAGGGGUGUGUGAGAAGGGCGAUUCUGGAGACACCCGGCGUCUCUCUUCUCGAAUUUCUCUCGGCCCUUGUAGGUGGAUUCGUAGCCUGAAGUGAGUGAGAACUUUUUAUUGCAACCACUGAGUUCAGAUGGGUAUGGGAAAGAUGCAUGGUCACGGAGGGUAUGACUCUGAUUUUAGUGAUGAUGAGCACUGUGGAGAAUCUAGCAAAAGGAAAAAAAGGACAGCUGAAGAUGAUUUACUGCUCAAAAAGCCAUUUCAGAAAGAAAAACAUGGGAAGGUGGUCCAUAAACAAGUUGCAGCAGAAUUGCUGGAUAGGGAAGAGGCAAGAAAUAGAAGGUUUCAUCUCAUAGCUAUGGAUGCUUAUCAAAGGCAUACAAAGUUUGUAAAUGACUAUAUUUUAUACUACGGUGGCAAAAAAGAAGACUUCAGGCGAUCCAGGGAAAAUGACAAGACAGACAUGGAUGUUAUACGGGAAAAUCAUAGAUUCCUAUGGAAUGAGGAGGAUGAAAUGGACAUGAAUUGGGAGAAGAGACUUGCAAAGAAAUACUAUGAUAAAUUAUUCAAGGAAUACUGCAUAGCAGAUCUCAGCAGAUACAAAGAAAAUAAGUUUGGAUUUAGGUGGCGAGUAGAAAGAGAAGUGAUUUCAGGAAAAGGCCAGUUUUGCUGUGGAAAUAAAUGUUGUGAUAAAAAAGAAGGCUUAAAGAGUUGGGAAGUUAAUUUUGGUUAUAUUGAGCAUGGUGAAAAGAGAAAUGCUCUUGUUAAAUUAAGAGAAAAGAAGUCAAGUCAAAAAAAAGAAAGGAUAAAACCAAAAAAGAUUGUGGAGAGUCAUCACAUAAAAAAUCCAGAUUAUCUUCUGUGGAAGAGAAGGAUAAAGCACAUUCAUCCUCAAUGAAAUCAGAAAAUUCGAUCAACAUAAACUCUGAUGAAGAAGAAAGUACUUCAGAAUCUGAAGUUUGGAAGGGCCCACUACCAGAGACAGAUGAAAAAUCACAGGAAGCGCCUUGAAGAUACAUCUAGGUGUAAAAGCUCAAUGCAUGCCUUGUUCUCUGCUGUUGGUUGGAAGAACUGUCUGGAUAUAGGCUGGAACGUUAGCAGCUCUUGUUACUGGGAUGUUCACCACUUGAACUUUAUAUGUUGAAAGAGGAUAAAAUAAUACCUACAACAUAGAGUUUAUUGUGAAGAUUUAAUAAAGAAUAUAAAGUACCUCAUAUAGUACCUACCAAUAUAGUAAGUUCUUAAUAAAUGUUAGUCCUGUUUUGUUAGUCUCUGGGCAUAUUGGUUCAAAACUGUAUGUAUAUUUAAUACUCAGCAGCUCUAUGAAGAAAUGUAAUCAUUUUAUAGAUAAGGAAACUGAGCCCAGAAAUGUUAAAUAACUUGCUUACCCAGCUGAUAACUGAUAGAGCAAGAACUUAAACACUGUCUGAUUUGAAAACCUGUACUAUUUCCGUUGUAUCACUCUGGCUUCUAGCAGUAAUACUUACUUAGUAUUUUAUAAUUUUUCAUAAUAUUUUAACACAGUAUUAUUUAAUACCUCCUUUCAGAGUUUUGUUCUUUGUUUUAGAUAUAAUCUUCACUGCUACAAAUACAUAUUUACUGUUCUCAGAGUAAUAAAACCUUCAACCUAAGCAGAUUUCCCCUAUUCCUGGGAGUAAGACUUGUAUUCUUCCUUAAAAUAGCUUCUUUUUCAUUCAUUUUUUGAUCAGACUCUAAUUUGAAAUGAGAAUGAACAGAGUAAGCUAUAAAGUCAACCAAAAAUGUACUUAAAAAUAAAAUCGUAGGUAAUAAAUUCACUUAGGGAGAGGUGUUUAACAUGUACGACAUCUUAAUCGGUCUGGGUAUAGUUAUUUUGGAAGUCAAAAAUUAUUUGAUAGGAGUUCCCAUGAUGGCUCAGUGGUUAAAAAAUGCAGCUAGCAU